rnacentral:lncRNA from 1 species
AAGUUGAAUCUUUUUUAUAAAUUGUUGUCAACCUUUUUUUUAUCAUUUUUUUCCCUUUUAUGACAACUAUUAUACCAGUCUGAGAUAUAAAUAAACUUCAAACAGCAAAUGUUGUCACCUAGACGAGGGAGCCGUCAUUGUAUGCUUCAAUAUAUGAGUUAUUGCCACUCAAUGAAGAUUGUUUUUCUGAUGUAGUCCGUCCCCUGUUAGUUUUGCUGGAAAUUAUACAAUGUAACCCCUGAUGUGUACUACGACAACGUUUUUUUAAUAUUAAAAAAAAGAUUAAAUGCAAAGAGAAAAAUGAUGGAAGAAAUGCUAAGAUUUACGCAUAAAAAUUCAAAUGUAAAUAAAAAUGAAAUAUAUAAAAAUUGGAAAACUGUUUGAGACUGAGGACAAAUUAUUAUAAAUCACUAAAUGAAGCUGAUUAAUUUAUUGCUCCUUUGUGUCCAGUGGCAAAUAUGUCAUGCAUAUUCACGACUAGAUUCAAAGUGGAUCAAUUUGAAGCAAAUGUUUACAAAUUUAGAGUGGCACUUUUUACAAUAAGGCAGAGCGUUCGCUAGAGGUAAAACGUAUGCCGUAAUAGAAUAGAUUUGAACAAUAAUGAUCGAACUCGUAAGUUAUAAAGCCCCC